ACAAUAAGGUGCUUUUGCCAGUCUUUACCAUUGAGGCUUAUAUCGGUCUCCAACAUAGUCAACUCUUGAGAACCCCCAGUCACCCUAGAAAUACAAAUUGAUUCUGUCCCUUUGUGACUCAAGGGCAUUAGAAUGCACUGUGCACCAGUGUCUACCAGUACUUUAUAGUUCUGUGGUUCUGAUGUGUCAGGUCAUCCAAUGCACGCAGUCCAAAACAUUCUGUUACCCCUUCCCCUCCUCAGCUUAGAGGAGGGCCUCUCUAACUGUUAUCUCUAUUGUUCUUCUUCUGUGAGUCAUGAUCAAGGUCCUUACAACUUUUGCCAUGUUCCAGAGCAACUGGAGCCAAUGUACCAAUAAAUAUCAAUGGUUUUUGAGUCAGCUUGGCCCGGCUCCAUGACUAAAUGGGGCAGUGUCAUUUCUCAGUCCUUUGUAAUAGGUACUUACAUAUUAAGUUAAGUGUUUUAUGCAUGUUUCCUUCCGUCAUCCACCUCAGAGUUUUGCAAGAGGCACUUUUGUUAGAAAUGCUAUGCACAAUCAGAAAACGAAGAUUAAUCAAACCAGUUAUUUGAGAAUCAAAAGCAGUUGCAGACAUGAAGUAGGAGCUUCAAAUCUGCUUUACUUCAGCUUCAGCUAUAUACUUGAAGCACCUUCAUUUUCACUAUUAAGACUAGGUAGCUAAGAACUGUCUAAGCUCUGCUGAGGAUCCCAACUAAGAUAAGUACCUUCCUACAAUUACAUAAUUAAACCUUCAAGAGAGAAGGGCUUAUGAUUUACUCCCACUCAGCAGCCUGUUAUGGUUCUUAUUCUUGGGCAGUUAUUUCUCCCCCAGUAUGUGUAAGAUUAGCCAAGGUAAGUAAUUUGGAACUGUGAGUAUUUAAAAAUGACAGAAGCCCUCAAAAUUAAGUACUGCUGUGCACAGUUAAUUUUUAACUCAGCAUCCCCUUAUUGUGCUCGGGUUAUUUUUUUGUUUGUUUUUUUUUGGUUGUUGUUGUUUGUUUUGUUUUGUUUUGUUUUGGUAGAUUUAGAACUCAGUUUUCCAGGGUUUGAAAACAAUUAUCCUAGAUAAUUGUAAUGUCCGUGUAAUUAUUGUGGGAUAGCUAUUUUGUAUGUUGUGAUUGCUACCAUGAGCAUAGCAGGAAACCUGAGGUAACCUACUUCCCUGGGUUUGCUUUCUACCUUUAAAAGUAUGGGAAUUCAUUAUUAACUCUUCUGCAAAUG
ensembl:lncRNA